UGGGGAAUAUUGCACAAUGGGCGCAAGCCUGAUGCAGCCAUGCCGCGUGUAUGAAGAAGGCCUUCGGGUUGUAAAGCACUUUCAGCGGGGAGGAAGGCGAUAAGGUUAAUAACCUUGUCGAUUGACGUUACCCGCAGAAGAAGCACCGGCUAACUCCGUGCCAGCAGCCGCGGUAAUACGGAGGGUGCAAGCGUUAAUCGGAAUUACUGGGCGUAAAGCGCACGCAGGCGGUCUGUCAAGUCGGAUGUGAAAUCCCCGGGCUCAACCUGGGAACUGCAUUCGAAACUGGCAGGCUAGAGUCUUGUAGAGGGGGGUAGAAUUCCAGGUGUAGCGGUGAAAUGCGUAGAGAUCUGGAGGAAUACCGGUGGCGAAGGCGGCCCCCUGGACAAAGACUGACGCUCAGGUGCGAAAGCGUGGGGAGCAAACAGG
rnacentral:rRNA from 1 species